rfam:Myotis lucifugus cont2.17246, whole genome shotgun sequence.
GGUGGUUCUCAGUUGAGGCACUUUGGAAUCAGGCUCCCUUUUCUCUGGUUCCGGGUGCAUCACCCGAGGACUGCA